rnacentral:rRNA from 1 species
CCUACGGGAGGCAGCAGUGAGGAAUAUUGGUCAAUGGACGGAAGUCUGAACCAGCCAUGCCGCGUGCAGGAUGACGGCCCUACGGGUUGUAAACUGCUUUUAUAUAGGAAGAAACCCCCUUACGUGUAAGGGGCUGACGGUACUAUAAGAAUAAGGACCGGCUAACUCCGUGCCAGCAGCCGCGGUAAUACGGAGGGUCCAAGCGUUAUCCGGAUUUAUUGGGUUUAAAGGGUACGUAGGCGGAACUUUAAGUCAGUAGUGAAAGCCCAUCGCUUAACGAUGGAACUGCUAUUGAUACUGAUGUUCUUGAAUAUAGUUGAAGUAGGCGGAAUACGGCAUGUAGCGGUGAAAUGCAUAGAUAUGCCGUGGAACACCGAUCGCGAAGGCAGCUUACUAAGCUAUUAUUGACGCUAAGGUACGAAAGCGUGGGGAGCGAACAG